AUUGGUCAAGCAAGGAUUUUGGACAGUUUGGAGAUAUUUUUUUCUCAAAGAAAGAAUCCAUUUUAAUAGAACUGUCCAAAAUCCUUGCUUGACCAAU
rnacentral:pre_miRNA from 1 species